UGGGGAAUCUUCCGCAAUGGACGAAAGUCUGACGGAGCAACGCCGCGUGAGUGAAGACGGCCUUCGGGUUGUAAAGCUCUGUGAUCCGGGACGAAAGAGCCUGAGGUAAAUAGCCUAAGGAAGUGACGGUACCGGAAAAGCAAGCCACGGCUAACUACGUGCCAGCAGCCGCGGUAAUACGUAGGUGGCAAGCGUUGUCCGGAAUUAUUGGGCGUAAAGCGCGCGCAGGCGGCUUCCUAAGUCCAUCUUAAAAGUGCGGGGCUUAACCCCGUGAUGGGAUGGAAACUGGGAAGCUGGAGUAUCGGAGAGGAAAGUGGAAUUCCUAGUGUAGAGGUGAAAUGCGUAGAGAUUAGGAAGAACACCGGUGGCGAAGGCGACUUUCUGGACGAAAACUGACGCUGAGGCGCGAAAGCGUGGGGAGCAAACAGG
rnacentral:rRNA from 1 species